CGUGGAUCCAAGUCAAAGUUUUUUCACACCUAGAAACAAUAAAGUGAACAGUUCGGUCAGACAAUGGAAAUCAUUUUCUCUGACAAGAAGAUACACUAAAUACAACAAAAUAUCCAGCUUCAUAGAGGAGCAGACUUAACACAGAUUUGAAAGCAACUGAGCAAAUAAUACAGAGCAAAACAAUGUUACAAUCUGGUGUGAAGCAAAGCAGUCAUGUUUUAAGAAAAGAUGGUGCUAAGUCUACUCCUAAACUAAGGCAGACAGCAGUAACUGUAACUAAUAACUCCAACGUUACGAAUCCAUCCCAGGUUGGGUAUGUUUCAGAUAAUAACAUCUUCCCUGAAGAUAUAAAUCUUGAGCACUCAAAUAUGUUUAUUAUGAACAGUCAAUUAUUAUAAGUUUUUUUUGCUAUUUGAAAUUAUAUGUGGCAGUUCCAUCUGAAGGACAAGAUGAUCACUUUUACGACUUAAGCAGUCAAGAAAGUGAUACAGUAUCAAAUGUUUCCGAUCAUGCUCAAGAUUUAUUUAGAGAAGCUGUAUCAGAGAAAGCAAACAUUGAGUCUAUGAUGGCAAGGAUUAGAAAGAUGUGUGAAAGCAAGGUGAAAAUUAAAAAAAAAACCAUAGAGUACACAGACUACCCCAAAAAACAUAUUGGUAAGAGUUAUAAUAUAAUGAUUAAAGAGUAAAGUAUUAGUGAUACUGAACAUCGAGUACACAGACUACCCCAAAAACUACAACUAUGUAAACGUGUGUCAUCAAUCAUGCAGUCAGCAAAGUUUUUCCAAAAAUAAUUCAUGUAAUGCAGAGAAAAAAAUGAUUUUCAUUACGGUUAAUACUUCAACCAAAAAAAUUAAAUUCAAACCAUCGG